CAUAUUAGAAUAUUGGCUUUUUGCAAAUAUUUAGAUGGAUUCUGUAUCUAUAUUAGAGUAACUUUGCUAUAAAAAUUUAGGCUUUUUUUUGUUGUUAACUAAGCCUAGACAUAGUAGUGAAAUAGCUGCUAUAGUAUGCCUGUGUUAAACUGCCUGCUUGGUUGGGAUAACAUUCAAUGAACAUAUGAUGGAGCCCCUGCUGCUGACAUGCCAAUUAUCAGCACCCACUGUCUGUAGAAAACAUAGACCAAAGUCCAAACAGGAGGUGAUAACAAGGGCGGACUCAAACCACAGCCACGAAAGGCACAUGCUCUGAAAAGGUGGACCCGAGGAGCAGCCAUGCUAAACAAUUCUUGGAACAUGUAAACUAGUUUGGGGAAAAGUUUAAAUAUGCAUAAUUGUUUAUGACUGUGCAGUAGGCUGAUGCAAUAGAAAGGGUAUGUAAAGGACAUCUCUGAAAUAGCAGCUGUGCUCUUGGCUGAAUGCAGAGCACCCACCGCAAAAACUUUGCUUUAUUCUCUUUGUCUCUUAUUGUCCUUUAUUCAACUUUUAAACUUUUACAGGAGGGUGAACCUCGUUUUUCACAAUGGGGAUAAAAUGGGGCAUGGGGUGCUCAAAUGCCUCAAGAAAGCACCAAAACAACCCAAGCACCACAUUCCCCUCAUGCCUGGGCUGGCAGCCCAGCAGCUCAAGUAGAAGAGUCUUCCAGGAGCUCAGGGGGAGCAGCAGCCCUUGUGCUGAGGCACAGCCUGUGGAGAAAGGGGUGUCCCUGCUGCUGUCACAGCUGGCCCAGGACCGACAGGACCACCUGGAGAGCUGUGCAGGGAGCAGGCAGGAGACACGAGGUGCAGAAGGGACCUCCUUGCUUCCUGAACAUCUCAGAGAGGAGCCAGGCUGCAGCUGGAUGCAGUCCUAGACUAGUCAAUAGUUUAUGUUUAAAGGAUAGUAUAGGUGUAACUGAGCCUUUAUACAACUGUGUUCCAUAGGAUGAAAGAUAUAUUUAUAGAAAAAUAAAGAGUUUAUUAUGAUCACCAUGAAA